rnacentral:rRNA from 1 species
AGAGUUUGAUCAUGGCUCAGAAUCAACGCUGGCGGCGUGCCUAACACAUGCAAGUCGAGCGAGAAAAGGGGAGCAAUCCUCUGAGUAAAGCGGCGCACGGGUGAGUAACACGUGGGUAUCUGCCCUGAAGUGGGGAAUAACACCGGGAAACCGGUGCUAAUCCGCAUAUGAUCACGGUGUCUGCGGACACAGGGAUGAAAGGAGCAAUUCGCUUCAGGAGGAGCCCGCGGCUGAUUAGCUAGUUGGUGAGGUAAUGGCUCACCAAGGCUACGAUCAGUAUCCGGUCUGAGAGGACGGUCGGACACACUGGAACUGAGACACGGUCCAGACUCCUACGGGAGGCAGCAGUGGGGAAUUUUUCGCAAUGGGGGCAACCCUGACGAAGCAACGCCGCGUGGAUGAUGAAGUAUCUCGGUACGUAAAAUCCUUUCGACAGGGAAGAAACCGCAAGGUUGACGGUACCUGUAGAAGAAGCCCCGGCUAACUCCGUGCCAGCAGCCGCGGUAAUACGGGGGGGGCUAGCGUUGUUCGGAAUUACUGGGCGUAAAGGGCGCGUAGGCGGUCUGCUAAGUUGGAUGUGAAAACUCUGGGCUUAACCCAGAGCCUGCAUUCAAUACUGACAGGCUAGAGUUCUGGAGGGGAUAGCGGAAUUCCUGGUGUAGCGGUGAAAUGCGUAGAUAUCAGGAGGAACACCGGUGGCGAAGGCGGCUAUCUGGACAGAGUCUGACGCUGAGGCGCGAAAGCUAGGGGAGCAAACAGGAUUAGAUACCCUAGUAGUCC